GUGCACCUGCAGGGUGUGUUCCCGGCCGCAGCCCCGCGCCAGCUGCAGCUCCUUGAUCGAGCCGGAUCCUGAGCCGGGAACACGGGCUGAAGCGGCGCGGGGCGCCCCGCCCGGGGCUCCAUUGUUGAGGCUGCCGUGGCUCUGUCGGCUGCUCAGCUGCGCUCCAGUCGGCCCCAGGCGCCGCGGCGAGGAGCUAGCGCUGCGAGGCGGCGGCUGAGGUGAGACGCGCGACGGGCGACGGGGUCUCCGACCGGGGUGGGGUCUCUGCCCCGGGGGCGUGGCCGGCUCCGAGGUCGAGGCUCCGCAGGGGUCCGAGGUCGGGAUCCGGGGUCCUUGCGCCUGGGCUUUGUCUCGGCCCGGGUGGCACCGGGGGCUUCGCGCCUGCUGCGAUACCGCGUGGGCCCGCGCGGGGAGUCCCGGUCGCCCUGCGGGUGGGGGCGGUCCCCACUGCUCCCCGGCUCCCCGCGUCUGCCGCGGAGGGGACUGCAUGGACCCGGGCGCUGGCUUCUGCCCGUCCCGCGCGUGGCUGGUCCCCGCGUGCGGCAGAGGGGGCCCUGCGAGGACCCACUCGUGGGGCGGGGCGGGUCACCGCGAGUGGGAGACUCCGCCGCCCUCCCUGCCCUCCCUGCGAGACUGCUUCGCCAGACUCACCGAGGGGACUGCGCGGAGGUUGCAGUGAGUGAAAUGACUGCACUGCACCCCAGCCUGGGCCAUAGAGUGAGACUUCCUCUCAAAACAAAAACAAUGUACUGGGUCUACCUCCGGCUCUGGAAUUCUCCUGGAAGGCCUUCUCUUCUGGGCUUCAUUUUUCUCACUUUUGAGGAUCGUAAACUACAUAAUUUCCAAGAAUUUUUGCCCUACACCUUUAAUUCUUUCAAGCAAAUACAGCAGAGAAAAAUUCUCUUCCCCGCAAUGGUGUAAAUAAUGGAGGCCUUUGAAAAUGUGGAUUCUAAAGUGGAAGUUCUUUUUCUUCUUCCCCUUUGUUUCCUUUUAAACGAGUUUAGUUACAUGAGUAUAUACUUUAUCUCAGACUUAAGGACAAGUAUCUAUGAUGAAAACUUAAGUAACUUUUUGGCAAUAUCUUGCAUAUUCUUCACAAUUGUGUUUUAUGUGCAGCAUCUUCUCUAUAUCCAGUUGGUUUUUUUUUUUCUCAUUAAUGGAGUUGUUGAGCUCAGAACUUCUCAGGAGCAUUUUGUUGAUCUUUUAAGUGUCGUGUGAAAUAUGUUCCAAUUUAACAUUUUAUUUUGUCGAGUAAAAUGGGAGUAAAUGGAAACUUGAGAGUGCCUUGAGUAGAUGUACUUGGCUUGUGUAAUGGUUUGAAGCAUAGUUGAAAAUUACCACUUGUGGCCGGGUGUGGUGGCUCACACCUGUAAUCCCAACACUUGGGGAGGGCAAGACAGGCAGAUCACGAGGUUAGAAGAUGGCUAAUCUGGCUCAUACAGUGAAACCCCGUCUUCACUAAAAAUACCCCGUCUCCACUAAAAAUACAAAAACUUAGCUGAGUGUGGUGGCACACGCCUGUAGUCCCAGCUACUCGGGAGGCUGAGGCAGGGGAAUCACUUGAACCCGGGAGGUGGAGGUUGCAGUGAGCGGAGAUUGCACCACUGCACUCCAGCCUGGGCAACAGAGUGAGACUCCAUCUCAAAAAAAAAAAAAAAAA
ensembl:lncRNA